CUAUUAAUUAUAGACUUGAAUGAAUGGUGUGACGAAGAGUAAGCUUUUUCUGUAGUAAAAAUUGAAUUUUACUUUUAAGUGAAAAGGCUUAAAUGUUGUUAAGGGACGAUAAGACCCUAUAAAACUUAAUAUUAUUAACUCUUUUUUUUUAUAAAGUAAAGAGAUAAAUUAGUUUUAUUUUAUUUGGUUGGGGCGACAAAGAUAUAAAAGGUAGCUGUUACAGGUUAGAUUAAUAAGGUGAUUUGUUAUUAAAACCUUUAUUAAGGAUUAUAAUAAAGUUACUUUAGGGAUAACAGCGUA
rnacentral:rRNA from 1 species